GACGAACGCUGGCGGCGUGCCUAAUACAUGAAAGUAGAACGCAGUUGCGAACGGGUGAGUAACGCGUAGGUAACUGCCUGGUAGCGGGGGAUAACUAUUGGAAACGAUAGCUAAUACCGCAUCCUACCCGAUGGACCUGCGUUGUAUUAGCUAGUUGGGGGGGUAACGGCUUACCAAGGUGACGAUACAUCGCCGACCUGGGAGGGUGAUCGGCCACACUGUGACUGGGACACGGCCCAGACUCCCACGGGGGGCAGCAGUAGGGAAUCUUCGGCAAUGGACGGAAGUCUGACCGAGCAACGCCGCGGGAGUGAAGAAGGUUUUCGGAUCGUAAAGCUCUGUUGUAAGAGAAGCGGUAUCUUACCAGAAAGGGACGGCUAACUACGUGCCAGCAGCCGCGGUAAUAC
rnacentral:rRNA from 1 species